rnacentral:rRNA from 1 species
CGUGCUUAACACAUGCAAGUCGAACGAGAACGGAUUAUAGCUUGCUAUAAUUGUCAGCUAAGUGGCGCACGGGUGAGUAAUGUAUAGAUAACCUGCCCUCUAAGAAAGGAAUAACAGUUGGAAACGACCGCUAAUGCCCUAUAUGCCUUUAAUACAUAAGUAUGCAAGGGAAACGCUUUAGUGCUAGAGGAUGGGUCUGUAUGGUAUCAGCUUGUUGGUGAGGUAAUGGCUCACCAAGGCUAUGACGCCUAACUGGUUUGAGAGGAUGAUCAGUCACACUGGAACUGAGACACGGACCAGACUCCUACGGGAGGCAGCAGUGAGGAAUAUUGGUCAAUGGGCGCAAGCCUGAACCAGCCAUGCCGCGUGCAGGAUGACGGUCCUAUGGACUGUAAACUGCUUUUGUACAGGAAGAAACACUCCCUCGUGAGGGAGCUUGACGGUACUGUAAGAAUAAGGAUCGGCUAACUCCGUG